CAGCCGCCGCGGUAAUACAGAGGGUGCAAGCGUUAAUCGGAAUUACUGGGCGUAAAGCGCGCGUAGGUGGUUUGUUAAGUUGGAUGUGAAAUCCCCGGGCUCAACCUGGGAACUGCAUCCAAAACUGGCAAGCUAGAGUAUGGUAGAGGGUGGUGGAAUUUCCUGUGUAGCGGUGAAAUGCGUAGAUAUAGGAAGGAACACCAGUGGCGAAGGCGACCACCUGGACUGAUACUGACACUGAGGUGCGAAAGCGUGGGGAGCAAACAGGAUUAGAUACCCCGGUAGUCCCUGUCUCUUAUAC
rnacentral:rRNA from 1 species